GUUUUCUAUUCUUUUUUCUCUUUGUCUUCAUUUCCAUAUUUUUUGUUAGCGGUUUUAUUAAAGGUUCUCCUCAAGUUCUGUUGACUCUUGUUUGUUGGUUUUUAUUUAAGGGUAAGGCACUAAAACAUCAAUCCUUAACUCUGUGGGGAUGGGUGAGUUUGGAACUGCUGAGCUUUUGUGCACGGCGGUAACGAGACGGGACAGAUUUUCUAAUCCGAAGGGAUUUCUUCCAGUUGUUUCAUCACUUUUUCUUGGAGUGUGUUUUUGUAUGUAGGGGUAAAAUUGGUAAUAAGUCUGGCUGUCAACAUUUUAGAAGACACUCUCACAGAGUAGAAGGCUGUCUUUGGUCAGGUCAAUGUAUUCCUCAAUCUUUUGGAGAGCAGAUGAAAGAAUGGAGUCUAAGAUGAUAUGGUGAUAGCUCCUUAUACUUUCAAAUAGAAUGAACCAUGGAUCCUGACCUAAUAGAGAUACGGACUUCAGCAAAUACCUGGGGAAGGUCUUGUUUAAAUGCCGUUAAAAACAUUGAAGCUGGUUUUCCAGGUCGCGGCGAAGGCGUCAGUGUUUGCGGAUGCCCAGUCUAUGGAGUCAGUUGGUACCGGUGAAGGCGCGAAGGCAGGAGGCGGUGUCGGAGAAGGGGCCUCUGCCCGGCCAGGAUGUUACCGGGCUUGGCUGCCGCGGCGGCCCACAGAUGUGGGUGGUCCUCUCUGUGCUGGCUCCGUCUGCGAUGCAGGGCGGUGACCCGUGGCCCCAGCAACCGCCAGGAGUGGCAGAAUUUAGUGACAUUUAGAAGCUUUUCAAACUUGGUUCCCUAUAGUCAUCCAUACCUUUGUACACUGAGUCAAGUCAAGUUGUACUCCACAGAUGUUCAGAAAGAAGGACAGGGAUCACAAACUCUCAGAGUGGGAAAAGUACCAUCGUUUGAAACAGCAGAAGACAUAGGCGCAGAACUCAAAGCUCCACUUAAGCCAGACCCUCUCCAAGGAAGAGUUUAAGGCAGUCCUUCAGAAAAGGGAGUAUGGAUCAAAGUACACUCAGAAUAAUUUCAUCACUGGAGUCAGAGCAAUAAAUGAGUUCUGCCUUAAAUCCAGCGGUCUAGAACAACUUCGAAACAUCAGACGACGAAGUCCUCAUGAAGAUACUGAGUCUUUCACUGCAUACUUGAGAUCAGAUGUGGAGGCAAAAUCUUUGGAAGUUUGGGGAAGCCUGGGAGCUCUUGCCAGAGAGAAAAGAUCGCGCAAGGAAGCAGAAAUAGAAUACAGAGAAACUGCGCUCCAGAACAGCAUCAGUGUUUUUUAAGGGACCAGGAAAAGUGGUGAUGGUUGCAAUUUGCAUCAAUGGAUUAAACUGCUUCUUUAAAUUUCUUGCCUGGAUUUAUACUGGUUCAGCAAGUAUGUUCUCAGAAGCUAUACAUUCAUUAUCUGAUACUUGUAAUCAGGGUUUACUAGCAUUGGGCAUCAGUAAGUCUGUUCAAACACCAGAUCCUUCUCAUCCGUACCGAUUUUCGAAUAUGCGCUGUAUUUCUUCACUAAUUAGUGGUGUUGGUAUUUUCAUGAUGGGUGCAGGACUAUCUUGGUACCAUGGAGUCAUGGGAUUGCUUCAUCCUCAACCAAUAGAAUCCCUUCUAUGGGCCUAUUGUAUUUUAGCAGGAUCAUUAUUAUCUGAAGGAGCGACACUUCUUGUUGCUGUAAAUGAACUUCGUAGGAGUGCUCGGACCAAAGGAAUGUCGUUUUACCAAUAUGUAAUGGAAAGUCGUGAUCCUAGUACAAAUGUUAUAUUAUUGGAGGAUACUGCUGCAGUCUUGGGAGUUAUAAUAGCAGCCACUUGCAUGGGUCUUACUUCCGUAACAGGCAAUCCACUGUAUGACAGCCUAGGUUCUUUGGGUGUGGACACCUUAUUAGGCGUGGUGUCAGCAUUCCUCAUCUACACUAAUACAGAAGCACUCUUAGGGCGGUCCAUCCAGCCAGAACAAGCACAGAGGCUCACUGAACUCCUGGAGAAUGACCCAUCAGUAAGGGCAAUUCAUGAUGUUAAAGCCACAGAUCUGGGACUAGGUAAAGUAAGAUUUAAGGCAGAAGUAGAUUUUGAUGGGCGAGUUGUUACAAAAUCAUAUUUGGAAAAAUAAGAUUUUGACCAAAUGUUACAAGAAAUUCAAGAAGUGAAAACUCCUGAAGAACUAGAGAUCUUUAUGCUUAAACAUGGAGAAAAUAUUAUUGAUACAUUAGGAGCUGAAAUAGACUUGAGAAGGAACUGAAAAAACGAAAUCCUGAAGUUUAACAUGUAGAUUUGGAGAUACUCUGA